AGCAGAGUUAGUCUAUCCCUUUACAGAGCUGCUCCAUCCUGGUCUUUCUAAGCUCUUCCUGUACUUCCUGCUGCUCGUCACCUGGAUCAGGUGUGCUCAGUCAAACACCUGAUCUAAUUAGCAACUGGAGAGGAAGGAUCUGCAUGACAGCAUGCAGGAUUGAGCAGCCUAAAAAAACACACAUAGGAAAGUUAAGUUUGUACUUUAAUUAGCAACAACUGAUCAGUGUAAAAUGAGGAGAAACAUUUAUUCAAAGCAAAUAAAAUGAAAAAGUUCAUGGAAUAUGACUAAAGAAGCCAUCCAUCUUUCAGAGUGGGAAUCGUGGAUCGUCAGCGGGAUCCAUGGAAACGGGAGACGGCAAAGAGGACCGCCGGGAAGGAACGAGCGGAGAACCGCCCCGGAGCUUUUCACAGAGUGACCCCCCAGGAUCUCGUCCAGGUUUAUGUCCUUCAUCCAGUCGUCGUUUCCUGAUCCAGACUUCAGCAGCGCGUCGAUGAAGUCGGAGUCGGCGUUGAUGCCGGGAACCGUGUUGUCUCCCUCGGGGAGAAAGUCAAACGUCACCCGGUUGUGUCGGCUGCUCUGGUAGCCGUUGGCGCCCGGGCUGGGCUCCGUGAAGUUACCCGCCGGCACCCUCUGCUCAGGCGACACCUGGCUGAGGUUUCCCACGGGGGACGGCGAGCUCAUCAGGGCCGGGUUGGGUCUGGCGGCCGUCUCCCUCACCGAGGGGGUCAGAGGGAGCAUGCCCAGGUCCGGCGCCACCUGGUUGGGGGGGCCGACGUGCCUCUGCCCGUACAUGUCCGGCACGCCCUGCGGCGCGGGGAGACACCUGAGACCAAGUCCAGCCGUCACUUGUUUGUUGGCGGAACCCCAACCCAUGGCGCCGCUCGUCAUCAGGCCUCCUAGACUCUGUCCGGAGGAGUGCAGGUUCGCCGGGGCCCUCUGGUGCUGCACGCCCGCCGUGCCGCUCAUCCCAAACGACUUCCCCGGAGCGUUGGGACCCAGGAACCUGGGCUUACUUUGGUUCAGGCGGUUGUGGACGUUUUGCUGAAACUGGUUGAUGCAGGAGGUGGGCGGACAGUCAGCCGCCAUCGCUCCGCCCAUCUUGGCGGUGGAGACGUUUCGGAGGUGACAGGACAGCGACUGUAGUGAGUUCUCGGGACCGCCGCCGGGAGACUGGGAGGAGCUUUGACCUGUGGAGACAGAAUCUAUCAGGACCGUAGAAAACAAACCGGAACACUGAGCUGAACGCAGUAACGAACCCGUGAAGAUGCUGCCUUGCUGAACUCCCACAAUGCCUCUGGACUGCUUGUAAUCCGGCGGCGGUCUCGUCAGAUGGCGGCUGAACUGAUCGCAGGCGUUGUCUUUAUCCUAGAGAAGAAAAUCAAGUCAUCACUGAGGUGAACAUGACUCGAAGGUGCUCUUUAACUCGACUUACUGCAGUGCUGACGGGAUGCUGCAGCUGCUGCCUCGGAACCGUCUGGGUUUUGGCCGGGCCUUUCUGCUGGUUGUUGGGCGCCGAGUGUCGCAGCUGGGAUUGGGCUGACAAGACUCCCAAGGUUCCGUUAGGACCAGAAGGAACUCCCUUUGGAUGGAAAACAGUCGGAUGUUUAUGGACAUGCUAAGAGGCCUACAAUACUAAUUUAUUAAUUCAUUAAGUGAAAUAACGGCGUUUAAGGUGUCCUUUAGCACAAAUGAAUGGACUUUGCAGAAGUGAAUGUCUAAUAUGAUCAGGCCUCCGUCAUCCAUUCAUUUCUGAUAGACACUUUGUUGUAAACAUGCCAGAAAAGUUAUGGAUUAAAAAUGAAAUUAAA